GACCGCGUAUAGCUCAGUUGGCAGAGUAUUGGGCUAGUAUUCCAAAGGUCGUAGGUUCCAUUCCCACCGUGGCCA
rnacentral:tRNA from 1 species